rnacentral:misc_RNA from 1 species
GGUGUACCGCUGCGUGCGGAUGGUGGCGGAGGCGGCGGCUUCGGUGCCGCUGGCCGUGUUCGACGGGUCGGAGAAGGCGGGGGCGGAGCAUCCCGUGGCGCGGCUGCUGGAGCGGCCCAACCCUGAGCAGGGCGGGGCGGACCUGCUGGAGGCGUUCUACGGAGCGCUGCAGGUGAGCGGGAACGGGUACUUGGAGUUCGUGGGUGAGCCCACCACCCCCACCCGUCUCGACGCUCCGCGUCGAGCCACCCUCCCCACUUCGGGGGAGGGAGAGGCUUGUGAACUGUACGCGCUCAGGCCGGAGCGGUUGGCCGUCGUGCCUGGGGAGUGGGGGUGGGCGGAGGCUUACGAGUAUUCCGUGGGCGGACGGAUGGUGCGGAU